GAGCGUCAUCCGAAUACCCUCGGGGGUAGAGCACUGGAUGGGUAAUGGGGCCCCACAGGCUUACUGAUCCUAACCAAACUCCGAAUACCGAGGAGUACUAGAUGGCAGACACACGGCGAAUGCUAACGUCCGUCGUGAAGAGGGAAACAACCCAGACCGCCAGCUAAGGCCCCAAAUUCCUAGUUAAGUGGGAAACGAGGUGGGAAGGCAUAGACAGC
rnacentral:rRNA from 14 species